GAUGAACGCUGGCGGCGUGCCUAAUACAUGCAAGUAGAACGCUGAAGGAGGAGCUUGCUCUUCUGGAUGAGUUGCGAACGGGUGAGUAACGCGUAGGUAACCUGCCUGGUAGCGGGGGAUAACUAUUGGAAACGAUAGCUAAUACCGCAUGACAACAGUUAUUGCAUGAUAACUGUUUAAAAGGGGUAACUGCUCCACUACCAGAUGGACCUGCGUUGUAUUAGCUAGUUGGUGAGGUAACGGCUCACCAAGGCGACGAUACAUAGCCGACCUGAGAGGGUGAUCGGCCACACUGGGACUGAGACACGGCCCAGACUCCUACGGGAGGCAGCAGUAGGGAAUCUUCGGCAAUGGACGGAAGUCUGACCGAGCAACGCCGCGUGAGUGAAGAAGGUUUUCGGAUCGUAAAGCUCUGUUGUAAGAGAAGAACGAGUGUGAGAGUGGAAAGUUCACACUGUGACGGUAUCUUACCAGAAAGGGACGGCUAACUACGUG
rnacentral:rRNA from 1 species